rnacentral:rRNA from 1 species
GGAAUAUUGCACAAUGGGCGCAAGCCUGAUGCAGCCAUGCCGCGUGUAUGAAGAAGGCCUUCGGGUUGUAAAGUACUUUCAGCGGGGAGGAAGGCGACGGGGUUAAUAACCCUGUCGAUUGACGUUACCCGCAGAAGAAGCACCGGCUAACUACGUGCCAGCAGCCGCGGUAAUACGUAGGUGGCAAGCGUUGUCCGGAUUUAUUGGGCGUAAAGCGAGCGCAGGCGGUUUUUUAAGUCUAAUGUGAAAGCCUUCAGCUUAACCGAAGAAGUGCAUUGGAAACUGGAAGACUUGAGUGCAGAAGAGGACAGUGGAACUCCAUGUGUAGCGGUGAAAUGCGUAGAUAUAUGGAAGAACACCAGUGGCGAAGGCGGCUGUCUGGCCUGUAACUGACGCUGAGGCUCGAAAGCAUGGGUAGCGAACA